rnacentral:rRNA from 1 species
AUGAACGCUGGCGGCGUGCUUAACACAUGCAAGUCGAACGAAGCAUUUAAGACAGAUUACUUCGGUUUGAAGUCUUUUAUGACUGAGUGGCGGACAGGUGAGUAACGCGUGGGUAACCUGCCUCAUACAGGGGGAUAGCAGCUGGAAACGGCUGGUAAUACCGCAUAAGCGCACAGUACCACAUGGUACAGUGUGAAAAACUCCGGUGGUAUGAGAUGGACCCGCGUCUGAUUAGCUUGUUGGCGGGGUAACGGCCCACCAAGGCGACGAUCAGUAGCCGACCUGAGAGGGUGACCGGCCACAUUGGGACUGAGACACGGCCCAGACUCCUACGGGAGGCAGCAGUGGGGAAUAUUGCACAAUGGAGGAAACUCUGAUGCAGCGACGCCGCGUGAGUGAAGAAGUAGUUCGCUAUGUAAAGCUCUAUCAGCAGGGAAGAUAGUGACGGUACCUGACUAAGAAGCUCCGGCUAAAUACGUG